rnacentral:tRNA from 1 species
GCCGGGAUAGCCUAGAGGCGAGGCGGCGGACUGCAGAUCCGCUUUACGGGGGUUCAACUCCCCCUCCCGGCUCCA